rnacentral:misc_RNA from 1 species
AUGCUACAAGACUUGUGUACUUAGCCGAUAUUUUUUUAAAAUUUAGAUUUCCAUAAGCUGCAUUUAGAUUAAAAAGAAAAACAAUUAAAAAUUAUUCUUCUUUUGUUUAAAUUGUGUGCAUCAACAUUCAAAUUCAUGAAGACUGAGGGAAAAAAUAAAUUUCAUUUUAAUUUGUAAAAAUUCUUGGCCUUGGCUUAUCCCCAAACCUAAUAACUAAUAUUGAAUUCAA